CAGUCGCCGCGGGAAUACAGAGGGUGCAAGCGUUAAUCGGAAUUACUGGGCGUAAAGCGCGCGUAGGUGGUUCGUUAAGUUGGAUGUGAAAUCCCCGGGCUCAACCUGGGAACUGCAUCCAAAACUGGCGAGCUAGAGUAGGGCAGAGGGUGGUGGAAUUUCCUGUGUAGCGGUGAAAUGCGUAGAUAUAGGAAGGAACACCAGUGGCGAAGGCGACCACCUGGGCUCAUACUGACACUGAGGUGCGAAAGCGUGGGGAGCAAACAGGAUUAGAUACCCCAGUAGUCCCUGUCUCUUAUAU
rnacentral:rRNA from 1 species